rnacentral:rRNA from 1 species
UUAAGCGACUAAGCGUACACGGUGGAUGCCCUGGCAGUCAGAGGCGAUGAAGGACGUGCUAAUCUGCGAUAAGCGUCGGUAAGGUGAUAUGAACCGUUAUAACCGGCGAUUUCCGAAUGGGGAAACCCAGUGUGUUUCGACACACUAUCAUUAACUGAAUCCAUAGGUUAAUGAGGCGAACCGGGGGAACUGAAACAUCUAAGUACCCCGAGGAAAAGAAAUCAACCGAGAUUCCCCCAGUAGCGGCGAGCGAACGGGGAGCAGCCCAGAGCCUGAAUCAGUGUGUGUGUUAGUGGAAGCGUCUGGAAAGGCGCGCGAUACAGGGUGACAGCCCCGUACACAAAAAUGCACAUGCUGUGAGCUCGAUGAGUAGGGCGGGACACGUGGUAUCCUGUCUGAAUAUGGGGGGACCAUCCUCCAAGGCUAAAUACUCCUGACUGACCGAUAGUGAACCAGUACCGUGAGGGAAAGGCGAAAAGAACCCCGGCGAGGGGAGUGAAAAAGAACCUGAAACCGUGUACGUACAAGCAGUGGGAGCACGCUUAGGCGUGUGACUGCGUACCUUUUGUAUAAUGGGUCAGCGACUUAUAUUCUGUAGCAAGGUUAACCGAAUAGGGGAGCCGAAGGGAAACCGAGUCUUAACUGGGCGUUAAGUUGCAGGGUAUAGACCCGAAACCCGGUGAUCUAGCCAUGGGCAGGUUGAAGGUUGGGUAACACUAACUGGAGGACCGAACCGACUAAUGUUGAAAAAUUAGCGGAUGACUUGUGGCUGGGGGUGAAAGGCCAAUCAAACCGGGAGAUAGCUGGUUCUCCCCGAAAGCUAUUUAGGUAGCGCCUCGUGAAUUCAUCUCCGGGGGUAGAGCACUGUUUCGGCAAGGGGGUCAUCCCGACUUACCAACCCGAUGCAAACUGCGAAUACCGGAGAAUGUUAUCACGGGAGACACACGGCGGGUGCUAACGUCCGUCGUGAAGAGGGAAACAACCCAGACCGCCAGCUAAGGUCCCAAAGUCAUGGUUAAGUGGGAAACGAUGUGGGAAGGCCCAGACAGCCAGGAUGUUGGCUUAGAAGCAGCCAUCAUUUAAAGAAAGCGUAAUAGCUCACUGGUCGAGUCGGCCUGCGCGGAAGAUGUAACGGGGCUAAACCAUGCACCGAAGCUGCGGCAGCGACGCUUAUGCGUUGUUGGGUAGGGGAGCGUUCUGUAAGCCUGUGAAGGUGUACUGUGAGGUAUGCUGGAGGUAUCAGAAGUGCGAAUGCUGACAUAAGUAACGAUAAAGCGGGUGAAAAGCCCGCUCGCCGGAAGACCAAGGGUUCCUGUCCAACGUUAAUCGGGGCAGGGUGAGUCGACCCCUAAGGCGAGGCCGAAAGGCGUAGUCGAUGGGAAACAGGUUAAUAUUCCUGUACUUGGUGUUACUGCGAAGGGGGGACGGAGAAGGCUAUGUUGGCCGGGCGACGGUUGUCCCGGUUUAAGCGUGUAGGCUGGUUUUCCAGGCAAAUCCGGAAAAUCAAGGCUGAGGCGUGAUGACGAGGUACUACGGUGCUGAAGCAACAAAUGCCCUGCUUCCAGGAAAAGCCUCUAAGCAUCAGGUAACAUCAAAUCGUACCCCAAACCGACACAGGUGGUCAGGUAGAGAAUACCAAGGCGCUUGAGAGAACUCGGGUGAAGGAACUAGGCAAAAUGGUGCCGUAACUUCGGGAGAAGGCACGCUGAUACGUAGGUGAAGUCCCUCGCGGAUGGAGCUGAAAUCAGUCGAAGAUACCAGCUGGCUGCAACUGUUUAUUAAAAACACAGCACUGUGCAAACACGAAAGUGGACGUAUACGGUGUGACGCCUGCCCGGUGCCGGAAGGUUAAUUGAUGGGGUUAGCGGUAACGCGAAGCUCUUGAUCGAAGCCCCGGUAAACGGCGGCCGUAACUAUAACGGUCCUAAGGUAGCGAAAUUCCUUGUCGGGUAAGUUCCGACCUGCACGAAUGGCGUAAUGAUGGCCAGGCUGUCUCCACCCGAGACUCAGUGAAAUUGAACUCGCUGUGAAGAUGCAGUGUACCCGCGGCAAGACGGAAAGACCCCGUGAACCUUUACUAUAGCUUGACACUGAACAUUGAGCCUUGAUGUGUAGGAUAGGUGGGAGGCUUUGAAGUGUGGACGCCAGUCUGCAUGGAGCCGACCUUGAAAUACCACCCUUUAAUGUUUGAUGUUCUAACGUUGACCCGUAAUCCGGGUUGCGGACAGUGUCUGGUGGGUAGUUUGACUGGGGCGGUCUCCUCCUAAAGAGUAACGGAGGAGCACGAAGGUUGGCUAAUCCUGGUCGGACAUCAGGAGGUUAGUGCAAUGGCAUAAGCCAGCUUGACUGCGAGCGUGACGGCGCGAGCAGGUGCGAAAGCAGGUCAUAGUGAUCCGGUGGUUCUGAAUGGAAGGGCCAUCGCUCAACGGAUAAAAGGUACUCCGGGGAUAACAGGCUGAUACCGCCCAAGAGUUCAUAUCGACGGCGGUGUUUGGCACCUCGAUGUCGGCUCAUCACAUCCUGGGGCUGAAGUAGGUCCCAAGGGUAUGGCUGUUCGCCAUUUAAAGUGGUACGCGAGCUGGGUUUAGAACGUCGUGAGACAGUUCGGUCCCUAUCUGCCGUGGGCGCUGGAGAAUUGAGGGGGGCUGCUCCUAGUACGAGAGGACCGGAGUGGACGCAUCACUGGUGUUCGGGUUGUCAUGCCAAUGGCACUGCCCGGUAGCUAAAUGCGGAAGAGAUAAGUGCUGAAAGCAUCUAAGCACGAAACUUGCCCCGAGAUGAGUUCUCCCUGAC